GAUGAAGAACGUAGCGAAAUGCGAUACGUAAUGUGAAUUCAAAUUCAGUGAAUCAUCGAGUCUUUGAACGCACAUUGCGCCCCCUGGUAUUCCGGGGGGCAUGCCUGUCCGAGCGUCAUUGCUGCCCUCAAGCACGGCUUGUGUGUUGGGCCCCGUCCUCCGAUCCCGGGGGACGGGCCCGAAAGGCAGCGGCGGCACCGCGUCCGGUCCUCGAGCGUAUGGGGCUUUGUCACCCGCUCUGUAGGCCCGGCCGGCGCUUGCCGAUCAACCCAAAUUUUUAUCCAGGUUGACCUCGGAUCAGGUAGGGAUACCCGCUGAACUUAAGCAUAUCAAUAAGCGGAGGA
rnacentral:misc_RNA from 1 species